UAAACAAAAAUGAUAGAAAGUAUACCGAUUGUUAGCAAAUCUUUAUUAUUUAAAAUCAUUAAUUGUCAUAUAUAUCUUAAUCAUGUUAGGUAAUUUUGUAGGUUUUAUUUAAGAAAAAAUAUAUAAUAAUUUUAAUUUGAUAAAUGAAUGGUCCAUAGUGGACGUACUAUAUAAUAUAACAUUUCCUAGCAAUUUAAUUUUGGACUAACAAAAUUCUCAAUUGAUUCUCAAGCCGCCACGUAAGUAAAAUUAGCUUCCAAUUACGUGAUAACUCAGUAUGACACUUUUUUAAUUAAUACAAACUACAUGUUAUAACUUUUUAAAUGUUCCUUUUAAUAUAUAGGGGAUUUCAUUUCAAAAUUACCAUUAGGAUUAAGUUAUUAAUAGAUACAAGUUACUGAAACAAGUAAUUAAUACAUCUAUUUAUCUAUCUAUCUAUUACAAUAAAAUAGACUAUUCUCGUGCCUCCACUUCACUCUUGUAUAUCUGAAAAAAUGACACGUGUCAUAGUGUUUUUAAUGCUCGAAAUGUUCUCUUGCAAAGAUUUGAUUAUUGGACUAACUAUUUGAAUCUGAUAAAUGCAAUGGGCUCUUAAAAACUUUUAAGAAAAGACCCAUAUGAGUCAUCCUCUCCAAAACCCUAAUUUUCCACUUAUUCUGGCAGAGAGAAUAUCAGAGUAGCAGCUCUGAUUCACUUCAAGAGGUAGCCAUUAAGCUCACAUUUAAUCUCAGUUAACGCCAGAACCAACUAAGUCACGUUAAUCGCUCCACACCGCCCUCUUCAUCUUCUUCGCAGUCUCUACCCUAUAAAUGGCAUCUUCGGCCACAUGGUUUCCAGAAUCAUCUCUCUUUUCCACUCAACAUAUAUACACGGACCGCCGAGAGAGAUGGUGACGUCCCAGAUAUCGUUUUCCAAAUUAAAGCUCGGAGAUUGCAGCUUAACCGUUGUCACACUCCUUUUCCGGUGAGCUGAUUCUCGCUUGGAUACGUUAGAGAUUUACCCAGCAAUCGGGAACCAAAGAGCUGACAGUUACUUUCAUCAUCUCGGAACAUUCUUCCAUCACUGUAGAUGACCAGCCAGCAACUGAGACACAGCGUUUCCACUCAUUGGAAGAUUUCGAAGCGAACUACGGGCUGACAGGGGACCUCUUAUUCAUAGUUAAACAUGAUUGUUUAUCCCUCAGCCACAGAUUAACCACCCUUUCCCGGGAUAAUUUUUUCCACACAUAUGUAGAUGUCGUCGGGAACAUCAAGCUAAGCAACGGGCACCAAAAACGUCCGAUUCCUGAUUCUCGAGAGCAUGGACAGGUCAACGACUCGAGGUCUUGGUCAACCUACAGCCUAGAGAGGCCCAGUUGAAGGUUACCGUGGGACCAGGCUGCUGAAGAUAGCAGUCGGAAGUUUGACGGAAGUCUACAAAUGCAUAUCGUCCUAUCAAUCUUCUUUUCAAUCAAAUAUCAUGUUAUGUAUUGGUUCCCGAUUUACGGUUGAUCAGGAUGGAGCAGGAGUAACAUGAUAUUUUGUUCUAAAUGGAACUGUAAAAUCGCUCUUUACAAUUUCGUGUUCCAUGAGCUGCUCUAUCUCUUAAGCAAUGUUUUCCUCUGAAAAAAUGGAAAUUUCACUUUAAUCUUCAGAUUCUCUCAGUCACCAGCUUCAAGGUAUUUUCAUAAAUAAUUCACCGUAUUGUUCAUUGCUUCGGCUGCAAGAAUAAUAUUUUCUGUUUCCACCUCGAUCUCAAUCAUUGAUGAAAAGAUAAGUCAAAGCCAAAUUUUUGAAUAAAACCAGAACAUGAACUGUACAAUUCUUUGUUUUGGUUAGAAUGGUGACAGAGUUAUACUGGUAAGGUUGUUGGAACGACUGAGAAGUUCUGUAACAUUACAAAAGAAACGAAACACUUUUGUGUGUUUGUAUGUGCGUGUUUUUAUUACAUAGAUUUUAAAAGUCUUAUGAGUCUUGGUAUUUUUUUAGUACUAUGAACAAAAAUGUAAAGAAUUUACAUCCCAAUAUCAAUAAAAUUACAAAAUCAAUGUACGUAAACUUUUUGAAUAACAAAGCUUUUGAACAGAAUUUAAAAAUUUCACAUUUUCAAACCAAUAAAAGUGGACUUUAGUAAGAUUUUAAAAAUCUAUAAACCAAUAACAAAUGAAUCUCAAAUUUAUUGCAAUUCCUCUGGAAUCCAUCUACCAUCAAACCUUAAUUUAUUAAACCACAUCUUAACGUCCUUUCAACCAGCGGAAACCAGUGCUACACUAAUAUCUUUGACAAACAUCUGUUCAUUUAAUUUUUAUUAAGAACAAGCAACUAAAUUUUGCAAACCACGCCUGAACACGUGAACUCCAUGUUCGAUUUAGAUCACUUAAACCCUUAAGCAAGUAACUGAAUCUAAUGAUAGAGAACAUUCCAUAGUACAGAAUGGGAACAUCACACAUAUUGUGAAGCCUAAAAUUCUGUUGCAUCCAAACUUCAAUCUCUGCCGUUGCUGCUCUUCUCAUUCUAUUUAACUUCCCUAUCAAGCAGUCUACACAAGCCAUACUAAUUUAAGAUGCUCUAAUACCAUUUCCAAGACACCCAACAGAAAUAUACACAAACAGUUUGCAGUAGUAAACAUCAUUUCAGAGAGAAAAAGACUUUUAUUCACCACUUUAAAGCUUGCUUCAUUAUUAAGUCACGUUGCAGAAAGCAAAAUGCAGAAAAUGCAAUUGGUUGAUGAAAUGCAAAUAGACAUUGAGAUAACAUAUAUUUAUAAGCAAAGAUUAUCCUUUCCAUGAUGUUUGUUAGCCCUUCUCCUUGGAAGGAAAUCUAAAAAACAAUGUCUAAGAUGCUCAUUUUUUCCUCAAACAUUCUAUGGAACAUUCUCUCUAAAAUAAAAACUGUCAAAGUAAGAUGACUGUUACACAAAGAUGAUCAAACUAAUCAAACAAUCAGUAAACAACCAAAGGCUUAUCGUAAAAAUAAUGAUGCAAGGCUUUUUUUAAAUAUCAAAUAUAUCAAUAAUGUCAGCUCAAAAAGGGGAUCUGGGAACCGUUACAAGUCCGGUCGCCGGAAAAACAGAAGAUUCUAGGUUACAGUCACAAUGUUCUAAUCCUACAAGUAAAACCAAGCUAAGAGGAGAGGAGAAUCGGUUGGGGGAAAGAAGACAGGGGAGCAAGCUUCCUCCUCCGUUGAACACGGCAGCUGUAGUUUUCGAGCGUCUGGAUUUCACGUCACCGGUGUGUCCAAGACCAGUAAUCGCUCCACCACCAGUUGUCGUCACCUUUAGCCACACACGGAGUUUUCCCGCGGCCCCAAACCGCCGGCUUCAAAGAACAAGGUCCGGCUUCAAACAUAUUUGAAAUUUAACAACAGAAGAAGAUAAAACAAUAAAUAUCAAACCUUUUUUUGUUUGCUAAUAUGUAGUAACAUUUAAAAAGAAUAUGUUGCACAUACACAUUAUUUAAAAGAUCAUAUUUUAAAACAACAAUGAUAAACUAUGGAAAUAUAAAAUAUAUAUUGGAUCAAAAUAACAUUAGAACAAAAACAACACCAAAAUAAAUAAAACAAAUAAUAAAGCAAAACUAUACACUGAACUUUUUUUUGUGUAACUGAAAUAUACAGUGAACUUGAUAUUAAUGGGUAUCUGAAAAAGAAUUUGAUAGGGCUUCGCAUAUACACUGCAAUAUCAAUUGUAGAGUAAAUAUGAUGUAUAAUCAUGUACGCAAACACAACUUCUGCAGUGUGCCGACAAUCGACGAACAUAUUUUACAUCGAAAUGACAUCAUCAUUGCCGAUCGUAGUGUGGCUAAGGAGAGAGAACGACAGGGAGAGUGAUGCAAUCAAUAUCCAUCUAUCUGCUCCUAUGCUGCUUCUCUUUCUGCUGCAUAUAGUAUACCACUAAUUAACUUUAUUAUUUUUCCUAUGCGGGAGAAAUAACAUCUAUAAACAAAAGAAGCUUUAUACAGAAGCGAAAAAGAAACACACAACAAUAUCACGAGAGUUGUACAUCUACACUAAAUCACACAUAUAACUCUCACUACUCAAAACUUAGUCAAACCUUUCAACCACCCCAUCCCCAGAAGCAUUAGCAACCCUAGCAUCCCAGAAAUCAUAGUCUAUGUACACCCAAUCAACUUCACCGUCACUGCAUCUCUAAAACAAAUCUUCCAAAACCGCAACAGAGGACAUCAUACGAAACAAGGUCCAACAACUACAAUUUCGCUAACACCUUUAAACAAGUCAAAGUGACGCACACUUUCAAAUGUCUUAGCAUACAUUCCUUUUUAAAACACAAACUUAUGACCUAUAAAUCCAUUACGAUCAAUAGAGCCUUUAUCACAUAACCUACAUCCCAGACAUUAAACAUCUCACAUACAAUAACAAAACAACUAACCAUAAAACAUAACACCAUACUUCCAACUUAACCUACAUACUUUGUAGCCAACUCUUACUAAAAAAAACUAAUAGGCCCCAACGGCCAACUUCAUCAUUUUCACUUGCUUGGCAAACAACCCACUUCCAUCUACAUAUAAAACAAGCAAAUAUAACUCAGAUAUUUUCAUCCCAAUUAGUCAUCCAACCACUAUUGUCAUAAUGCCUCCUUCUAAUGGUUGGAAAUAAACUAAAUUCUUCAAAACUUACAAACACCCCAAACCACAUGUUUUCACACGUACCACAUGUUCACCCACACAUUAAGUAUAUUGCAAACUAAUAAGUAGAAGUACACAACUUCUAAACACAAUAUAAAACCACUACACAUCCUGGAGCACACAAGCUAAACACAUUACACAACAAACAAAUAAUAUCCCGCGCGAAACGCGGGAAAACCACUAGUAUAUAAUAAGACAGAGAGCCUAAACUAUGGAUUUUCUUUUUUUUUUCUUACACAGUGUAUGUUUAUUUUAACUUUAAAUUUUUUUUUUUUGGCCUAAGUUCUUUUACUUUUUAAAUUCAUAAUAACAUCUUACGAUGUUAAAUAUUCCUUAAAAUAAUUUACAAAAACUGUAUGUUUUGUGUAGUAUUGCUUUAAUAUAUUGAUGCUUGAUCUUACAUCUAAAUAUCGUAUUGAUGUAUCUGUUUGUUUUGUAAACUAUGAACAUUUAAUCUUAUGAUGUAUACACUCUCUGAGGAAUAUUCAGGUCUUAGGCUCCGAGUGGUAACUGCGGUUUGAGUGGUGCGGGACAAGCGGUUCAACUGCGGUGCGGUUUUAACAGUUAUAAAAAAGUAUAGAUAUAUGGUAUAUGUAGAGAUUUUUGUUACUGUUAAUUGCGGUGCGGGGUGGGACGGUUAUAAACAUUCGAAGCCUUGGUUAUGUGUAACAUAGAUUUUUACAAUAGAACUUAAGGUUUUAACCACGCGUCAGUGGUUGGGUGGCACAAGACGUUUUGUGAAUCUCUAAGAGACCCGAGUUCGAAUCCGCGCUGCUAACUCAUAUAAACAGGACACGUAGCCACCGGAGCUUUCACAUUCUCUCUCCGGGGAAAGGGGUCACCCAACUUAAGGUUUUUAGUGUUUUAUGAUCAUUGUUAUAGGUCGAAAAAGAGUUUUUAAGAAAAUAAGAAAAACAGUAAAGAGAUAUAAAGAUACAAUAAUCUUAUUUGGUUCCGUACACCAUUUGGUUUUAAGUAUAUGAGUUUGUUGUAGAUGGUUGCCUAAAAAAGCUGUAGAUGCUAACUUUCAUGACAUAUGAAGAUUGUUUGAUAGUGGAGAACAACAGUCAUCAAACCAUCAUCAUAAGCAGAAUUAUUAUAAAUAAAUAUAUAUAUAUAUAUAUAUUCUAAGAUUACAUAUAGAUUCUGAAACACCAUACGUAAGAACUUGAUUGUUAUUAAGAAAAUGGAAAUUCAGUGAUUGGAAAAGAAAAUCAGUUUUAUUCAGUUGUAUAAUUGUGCUUAACAAUUUAUUUUUAUGAGAACACAAACAUGUAGGAUAAAAGAGUAUUAGGAUCAUAACUAUUGCUUAGUUAACUAUUUAUUAAACUCACAGUCUUGCUCAACAUCUCAUAUAUAUGAUACUACAAGAGAAUAGCUCUAUUGUAACGUAAAAAUUGCGACGUCCAUUUUCGCUAAUAAUUUGCUAUGAUUAUUGCAAUAUUUUUGCAAUAAUAAAUAUUUGUUACAGUUUCAUUACAAAUUUAUUGCAAAAUAACAACUAUAACAGAAGUUGCAUAUUUUGUUACUAAAUUGCAAUUUUUUUCAACAUAAACAAAUAUCUUGAAAUUUUGCAAGAGACGUUCAACAUUUUUGAAUCAUUGCUAAUUUGCAAAAAAAAAAAAAUUUAAAUAAAUAUAUGGCAAAAAAUGUGACAGUGAUUAUAUUUUUUAUUAUAUGUUUUAUAGAAAAUAGACAAUAUUUGUUUAUAUUGUGUAUUUAAACAUGUACACUAUUUUUUUUUAAGUUUCAGAUUCUUAAGAUUUUGUUAAUAGUUUUAUUUUAUGAAGUUCAUUUUGUUUUCAUCAUAUAAUUUACUUAUUCCUAUUCAAAAUAAAAAGAAAUUAGACAAAAAAUAACUAUAAAUUAAGAGGAUGAUUGGUAGUUGUUGUAGGUGCUGUCGACAGCCCUAUUUAUUUCUACAGCACCAAAUUCACAGCAAUCAACCUUUUUUUUUUUUUGAAACCACAACUCUUGAAAUAACCUACAGCUGUACAAGUGCUCUGCAAAGCCAAAUAUCCAAAUCAAUUGUCUAGUGCUUUCCAUAAAAUUCUACAACAAUAAAAUCUAAAGCCACAGCAAAAAGUUUAUAUAUUUUUUUCUACAGUAAAAUUUUUAAAACUACAUCCAUUACGAAUCUGACCAUAAAUAUGCUAUAUACAUAACAUCUUAAUCUCUUCUUAUUUUUUUUCUUUUAACUCAGAUAAAGAUACGUGACAUACGUCCAAGGUUUAAUCAAAAAACUAAUAUACAUUAUAAUGAGGCACUUUACUCACUACUCAACGCGCCACGUCAGCGUCAGGUGGACCCACUUAAAAAAGUGUGAAAAAGUGUUCAAUCCAUUCUUUGAACCUGGGUUAUUCAGAUACAAACACCAACAUUAAUACCACUAAACUAAAGGAUAAUUUGUUCAUUGAUUGUCGAAACUAAUAUAUAUUUAUGAAGGUCAAAAACUCUUGUUUCUUUGGCUUCCUCUGAGGGUCAGGCCUACAAGUGUAUUAUGGGUUUCAUUUUUAUAUAGGAUGAUUCAUCACGUUAUAUGAAGAAAAAUCUCAAGUUUGCAACUAUUAUAUUUUCUCAUAUUGUAAACCGUUAAUAUGAGUUAGGGUUCUUUUCAUCAUUGUCUCAAACAGAUUUGAGUUACAGAGUAGCGCCGUGUGUCUGUUCGUAAUCUAUCUUUUCACCGGUGAACUCUUCAUCUCCCCAUUUAAAUCGCUUGAUCAUAAAUGUUCCUGAUUUGUAGCCCCUCUGUAAACCCUAUAUAUAUGAUUCUCAUCUUUGAUGAACCCAAUCUGCAUCUCCACAAAACUCAUUGAUUCUUCUUAGCUUUAAGCAUGUUUUAGAAAAAUUUUCUUUCUGCCUCUUCAGUUCCGCAAACCGUUGUCCCCGGCGUCCGUCACUCAACCUUCGAGUCUCCCAGUCUUGGUCGUAAUAGUCAUAGCAUAGCCGCUGGCCUCCUCCGCUUUUGAGAUUCCCCGAACUUCAAGAAAGACAGUGAAUUUAUGAGAAUCACGGUUCUCUUCCUUGAUGAAAAGGUAAGUUAAUCUUCGAUCUAUUACACUUAUUUAAUAUAAUUGUUUUUAAUUGAUUUCGUGAUUAUUUGUUAAAUAAUAUUAUUUGCAGAUUGCGUGAUUCACGGAUUCAUUUCCGCCGGACUUGCUAAUCAUUACAUGUCAUCUUUGAAAGUUGGUUCAAUUGUGAAAGUCGAUCAUUUUGAGGUUUCUAGGUGCUCAAACAUGUACAAGAUAACUGAUCAUCUAUUCCUCAUUUGUUUCAUCCCACCAACCAUUAUUGAUGAAGUCAUCACGGAUGCUCCUAAGUCAAUCUCCAGUCAUGAUUAUACUAUUCGACAAUCUCCAAGUGAUUGUGAACACAAACCUAGAACACAAGUGUAUAUUAACAUAUUGCAUUUAUGUUUAUAUUAUGUUUUGAUAUCAUAACUGAUAUUUAAACUCGCAUAUGUGGUUUGUCAAAUCCGUUCUGUCCAGGGUUUUGACCUCACAAAAGAAACAACUCGAGUCGUGAUCCGUCUCCUCAUUGACCCAUAAGAAACAAUCAACACACAGUUCCCUUCAUAUUACUGUCACUACAAGAAAACACAAGUUUUACGAUGGCAGUUUUCCUCGUUACUUCGUCGUAAAAGCAGUGUUACGACGAAUUACCGAGGAAACCCGUUUCGUCGUUAUACGUUUGUCGUAACGCAUAUAUCCUCGCUAAUUCGUCGUAAGUUAGCGAGGAA